CGUACAUUACAUUUAGUCGUCUGUGAGUGAUAGACGUUUCAUGACCUUGCGAUUUACUUAGGCAUGUACAAUUAAGUCAAAAAAUUAAACAUAUCAAACUUAAUUCUUUUUGGAAAAAGAAAUCUACCAGAAUUUGAUCAGUUCGUAUACUAAUUAUUGACAAUAAACUUUUCGGAGAAGCAUAUAUUAUAUUGAUCAAGACAACGCAUAAAAAAAUGAGUUUCAAAAUAAGCUUGUUAUUCAUACUUGUUACCUUCAGCACGUUUAGCACGGUAUACAUGCGUCCAUCAAAAAGAGAAUGCCGUUCACGACCCUCUUAUUGUAAUAUUGAUCAUGACUAUGGAAAUGGAUGCAAAUUUUGGACUCCUUGCGAUCAGCAGUGGAGAUACGCGUAUAAUAUAAAUACAAGACAAUGUGAACCUUUUUUUUACAGUGGUUAUGAAGGAAAUCAAAAUAAUUUUCUAACGGAGGUUAUGUGUACUUAUUAUUGUCAUGAAGAUGCAGAUGUUUAGAUGCACCUUUGAUAUAAUAUUGUUAAGAAUUUCUUAUAUAUUGAUAUGUAUUUACAAUAGUUUGAUAUUGACUUUAAAUAGAAA